CGGCCGCGUCGACGAAAACCGUGUAGUUGAAACUUCGUUCCCGUCCUGAGUGGAUCCUGAGUACGGCGGGACACGAGAAAUCCCGUCGGAAGCAGGGAGGACCAUCUCCCAAGGCUAAAUACUCCCUAGUGACCGAUAGUGAACCAGUACCGUGAGGGAAAGGUGAAAAGCACCCCGGAAGGGGAGUGAAAUAGAUCCUGAAACCGUGUGCCUACAAGUAGUUAGAGCCCGUUAAUGGGUGAUAGCGUGCCUUUUGUAGAAUGAACCAGCGAGUUACGAUUACGUGCAAGGUUAAGUCGAUGAGACGGAGCCGUAGCGAAAGCGAGUCUGAAUAGGGCGCAUGAGUACGUGGUCGUAGACCCGAAACCAGGUGAUCUACCCAUGUCCAGGGUGAAGUUCAGGUAACACUGAAUGGAGGCCCGAACCGACUCACGUUGAAAAGUGAGCGGAUGAGGUGUGGGUAGGGUGAAAUGCCAAUCGAACCUGGAGAUAGCUGGUUCUCUCCGAAAUAGCUUUAGGGCUAGCCUCAUGUGUUACGAGUCGUUGGAGGUAGAGCUACUGUACG
rnacentral:rRNA from 1 species